CCCACUGCCACAGAGCAGGAGCUGAUCGACGUGUCAUGCUUUGCUCUGAGCCUCCCUUGGCUCUUGUGCUUGCCGAAACUGGUGGCUGGGCUGUCCCCCCCAGUUGUGGCCAGUGGGCUGGGGGGGGGGGCAGCUGGCUGAUCAGAGCCCCCUUGCCUGUCUGCUAUCUUUCAUGCUGACCUCACAGACCCUUGGGUCUCAGGAUCCCUAUCCCUGCCACAGGCUAGUCACCCAAGGUCACUGCUGUUGCUCUUGCCAGAAGCCUCUGAGUGUUUUUGAGUGUUUUCAAGGUCAGACUGAAGGGUUCAUGUCCAGGCCCCGCCAGUCCCUCCCUUUGUGGUCUUUGGCCAGGUGCCAGACCCCUCUGAACUUGUUUCCCCAUCUUUAAAAUGUGGUUCGUAAUUGCUCUUACCUCUUGGGGUCUGUGUCAGGGUUUGAUGACAAGCCCUGCAAAUCACCACGUACUCGGUGCUUGCUGCCAUGAGCCUGUCACUGUCACCUCCACCCAUGACAAAAGUAAUAAAGACGAUAAAAAAAUCAUUUUGACCCCAAAAGUGUGGCCUAAUUAUUUUAAAGCAGAUGAUCCAUUUGCUUGGAGACUGGCAGAUCAGCAAACCAGUGGCUUGACUGAUGACUUACACCCCUUAUACCCGUUGUAGUCGUAUUAGUUUCUUCUUGCUGCUGUGACACAUUAGCACAAACUCAGCAGCUGAACUCCAGGCAUUUAUUCUCUUACAGUUGUGCAGGAUAGAAGUCUGACACGGGCCUCACUGGGCUGGGAUUGAGGUGUUAGCUGGGCUGCAUUCCCUCUGGAAGCUCCAGGGAGAAUCUCUUUCCCUGCCUUUCUAGCUGCCCCAUUCCUUGGCCGUGGCCCCAGCGAGCAAGGUGCCGUUCUCUUUACUGAAUGUCUUCCUGCGACACUCCUCUUCUGCCACCUCCUUCCACCUUUCAGGCCCCUUGUGCUUCCAUUGGCCCACCUCGAUAAUCCAAGGUCAUUGCUCUAAGUUCAGCUGAUAGGCAACCUUAAUUUCACCUGCAACCGGAAUCCCUUUUGCUGCCUGACCUGUAUUCGCAGGUUCCGAGGACCAGGACUUGGACGCCUUUGGGAGUGGGAUUGUUCUGCCCGCCCUGCUGAGCUGGCAUCUUGCUGCUCAGACACAGUAAUACAAAUCCAGUGCUGCCUUCGUGCUUCGUCCUAACUUCCCUCCCUGCCUCCAAGGGUGCGUAGAGAGGAUAGAUGGUACCCAAAGUGAGGACACUUGGUUGGUAGAAACAGUGUUUAUAUAGGUAUAACCUUGGUUGGGAAGAAAGGAAAAAACAAAAACAAAUGAAAGAUGUAAGAGGAGGCAAGCAGUACCAGGGACAGAACACUGCCCUGCCAUGUGGAGCCUGAUCCUCCUGACGCAAUCAGAGCCUCACUAGACUGUUCUGCCGGGUUCUGAGCUUCCGACCUUAAUAGAGACCAGAGAGAUUAAUGGGGGCUCAGAAGAGAAAUCUCUGAUUGGCUGUCGUGUGAAGUGUUGCUUACCUGCUUGAAACGUUAAAUAUAAGACUUGCCCAUUCGUUCGGCACACAGUUAUCUCACCUCCCAGGAAAGGGUGUUUAAUGUAUAGGGAGACAGGGAUAAAUAAUUCUGUCUGCCCCGAAGGCCCUGGAGACCCAUCGCCUGCAGGGGCAGGUUCUGAAGUCAGCAUAUAAGCCGGAAGUGGAGCAUCGUCCGUGACCCUCAGAGAUCCUUGCAGACUUCAUGCCCUUGGCAGCUCAGAGCCAGUGCAGAACCCAGAUGCCAGCUUCUUGUAUUUCCGUGGGAAGCAGAGGCCCAUUCCUAUCCAGGCCCCUCGAGUUUUCCACCACCCUUGUCCUUCGUUGUGUGUGCUUCAUGUCCUUGUCACUAGGUGGCCGUUCGUUGGUGGGUGUGAGGGUUGGAAUGUGGGAGCUGGCAAACAGCCUUUUAUCCGAUGGUACUGCCCACCAGUACGCCGUCCACUCUCCUGCUUCUAAGGGAAAAGAGAGUGCGUAGUGAUGCCGUUGCUGCAUUCGUCUUCGUCCCGGUGAGGCCUUCAAGUUUCCUCUGUUGUUGUUUGGAUGUGCACCUCCAUCUCCACCCCAGAAAGCAAAGCGAGCAAGGCGUUACUUCCAGGCCAGGGCCUCCCCUAACUCUGCAUGUGCUUGGCCUGCGUGGGCCAGGACGUGGAGACGCACUUCCGAGUUACGUGCCGUCUGUGGAGACUGACAUUUAUCCGCGAGGGUUGCAGAGUCUAAUUGUUUUUAAACUGCCACUUUUGUUUGUUAAAGAUACAGAUGUCUGGCCAUGGAGGAAAGCAAAGGGAAUUUAUUGUUACAAUUAGAUGCCUCACAAUUUGAAAACUUAUCACUUAAAUUGGUGAAGUGUCACUUUUAUGCCUCCUGAUGUUUAGAAGCCCUGGGAGCCCAGGAUUAAACUCAUAGACCCUUUAACAAGAGCCUGGCGAGAUGAAGGAAGUCGCACUUGACGAGACAUUGAGACAAACUGGAUGGGACUGUCCACUUGCCUCCUACGUGGUAGGACAGGUGAAGGGAAGUGGACCACAGCUUGAUUUUUUUGUAUAACUCUUCAAUUAAGGGGAACGGAGUUAAAAUCACUGGAUGUGGAGUUAGUUAAUACGAAUCUUGACGGACAUGAGGUUUUAUUCUCUGUGUUAAUUUGUGCUGUCUCCUAUUCCCUGGGUGGCUGAGAACAAGUCAUAGGUGACGUUUCUUAUUUAUGGGCAUUAAGCAAUAUCUUUAAAAUGUAAAAUAAAGCCGACAAAAUGCACAGCCUGAUAACAACAACAAAUCUAAUCUAAAGUGACACAGGGAGACUCUUGGAGACGUUUUUCUCUUUAAUGUAACAUGACUUUAAAUUGAUGCAGCCCCACAGUGAUUGAAAAACUCUCAGAGCUUGUCUCCUAUGAUUACAUUUCUGAUCUGUACAACUUAAUUUUUUAACUCGGUGAGUCUCCGUUUUGCGAAUGAGCAGUUUUUCUCUUGCCCGCUCUCACUUUAUUUGGGAAGAGAGUUUAUUUGGCAGCCAGGCGGAUGGAGCUCUUUUACCACGGGAAAUCAUGAGAAACCCAACAACAACGAAGUCCGAGGAAUGCGCCCCCCAAGAACGUGUGCCUCUUCUCGUGUAUUUUCUCUUCUUUUCUCUUGACAUUGGUGAUGUUCUCACUUAUUUGUGCUUAUGCUAAGAACCCAUUAAUCGCAUACUUUAUUAUGCUUUAAUUGAAGUGGAAUUGAUUUAUAGUGUGUUUGUUUCAGGUGUACAGCAAAGUGAUUCAGUUACCUCCUUUUUCAGAUUCAUCUGCAUUUUAGGUUAUUACAGGGUACUGGCCAUAGUUCCCGGUGCUCUACAGUAGGUCCUUGUUGUUUAUCUCGUUUAUCCAUAGUAGCGAGCAUCUGUUCAUCUCAGACUCUCUCCCCCACUGUACACGUUAAUUGGCUAAAUGAUACAGUCUGGGAACUGUAUCUCGGCAAAGCUCGAAUAUGUUUUUUAAGCGUCUCUGGAAUCAUUGUCAGUAAGUUACUUUGCAAAGUGUGUUUUGAUGAAUUCAAAAUUAAUUUAAAGUGGAUUAUACGUCUCUGACAUGUCCGGCAGUGCCUGGUCAUUGCUCAUGUUUAUUCAGGACACACACUCACAUCCUUUAUCCGGUGGUGUCUAGAAGGUGUUGGGAUGUGGAGUCGUGAGUUCCAUUUCUUGGGCCUCCUGUGGGAUGUUGAUGAAUCUGACAUGGUCCGAAGGCCAUUCUCGUCAUGGAUGCUUCCACUUCAGCACAAUAAAUUAACUUGCAUCGUUCUGACCUCACUUAGCUGUGCAUACACUUCUCACCUUCCUCCAAAACCUUCCUUUCAGAGCCCACUUGUUUAUUCAGCUUGGAUAAUUGCUACAGUGUAAAACAAACAUCUGACGAACUUUUUUUUUUUUUUUUUUGGUCCUAACUGUGUUACCGAAUGACUGGUACUCCAUAAUCCCCAAAGGCCUCCUGACUCUUCUUUUGCUUUUUUUCAACAGUAUCCUUUCAGACCCUACCUAGAAAAAUCAAAGCUUUCUGUGUUAGUUUAUCAUCUUUUUUAACUCGGCUGUCUCAGCUUGGGUAUUUAAUCUUUGACAUGGCUAUUGAUAAUUGUAACUCUUUUAUUUGAAAUAUGCUUAGUGUUGUCUUAUGUAAGACAAGAAAUUCAGGGACAAGAAAACCAUUUACACCUUCUCUUACAUAACAAGCAGUUUCCAGGAGGUGCUGUGACAAGGAUCAAGAAGAAUAAGGGACCUUCUGGCAGUUCUGAGCUCGAAUGCAUGUGAUGAUGAUGUGUCUGGAAUUACAGGGUAGGGGACACUGUUCUUACAGGUAAACGUGCAUAUACUUUGUUCCCUUCAUCUGGUGUACACUCUAGUUAAUUGCUUUUUGGGCUCAUUUUAAAAUUAAGAUUCACAUCAUCCAUUGAGGAGCUUGAGUUUAUGCUUGAAGCAAGAAACCCUUAGUCGAAAUUUUUAACUAUUAGAGCCACAUAUGUUUGAAUGCUGUGAUUUCAUUUUCUCUUAUCCAAAGGUACCCUAUACCUUUAAGGAGGUGAAUCCUGGAGUCGGUUUUAUUAUAUAUCUCACGACAGAGUUAAGCUUGGUUCAUUUGGAUUUGAAAAAUCUCCAGAGCUUUGAGAAUGACUUUGAAACACUCUUUACUGUUGGAGCUUAGAGGAAAUAAAUCUCGACUGUCCUCUCUAUUAAUUCACCUGCUUGGAAAGUUAGAGAUUAAAGGGUUUAGUGGGGUUUUUAUACUUCCUAUAAUUUCUGUUUGUAUUGGAGUAAACUCUUCUUUGUGUGGAGUGGUUCAGCUCUCAUGAAACAGAGAGAUGCCGCUACCGAGGGGAGAAGAAGGGAAAGUGUGGUGUUAACACAGAAAACUUCUCGUGGCUGUUUUCUGGUGUUAGGUGUAAAGGAGCGAGUAAGUUCCUUUAAUUAAGUCUCUUUGAGGGACGCAGUCUCCUCUCUGUAUCGCUGGUGAACUCUGAGAGCACAGACUUGGAGCUUUUCCUUUUGAAAGAAGGCUCUUUGUUUUUCUUCAGAAGUCAUUUUUAGCAACACGAGGGCAGAAAAAGAGAAGUCGAUAAGGAAAUGAAUCACGCGAUGGAAGCAGAACCAGCAUCCUCCGGUCCCGCUCCUGUUCUGCUCUCCAGAACCGCGGCUGCUCAUUAAUGACCUGAGAGCUGACGCUGGGUGGUGAGAUGAAGCCGCAGCGCACACGUUGGGGUGUGACUGAUGGCGUGGUUAUUACCAUCCAUUCAUGUGUAAUCCUGCAUCGGGAAGGUUUGUAAUUUGUUUUUGACACAUUUCUCUCCGAUUUCAUACAUUCCCGUGUAUCGCUCUCACCUUCCCCCAGAAGCCUAUUUCCAAGGCAGACUUUGUUUAUUCACUUGAGGUAAUUUAUAGGCCACUGCUUAUUUUCCUUAAUACAUAAUCUCUUCCCUUAAUGCUCCCUCUGUCUUCCAAGCUGACAACUUCGAGAACUAAAGCCACAGGGCUGGAGCUGGCAACUUCUGCCAAGGAAGGAAAGCCAGGCCGGGCCUUGAGCUCCUAAAGCGGCCGGUGGAAUUCACUUUAGAUGCAUUCCCUUUGCAGUGGUGAAUGGAGAGUGUUUGCAAAUCACCAAAAAUAUCUUUCUGUGACUUGGAACGAUGGCCUCUUCCCUCUCAGUGGCCACAAUGGCCCCUGGAAAAGAAACUGGCCUGCUCCCAGAGGCCCAGGAAGUGGGGGUGGUGGGGAGGGGGGGGACUGGCCCCUGGGCAGGUCGAGGGAGGCCAGUCCCCAGUUCACUGCCAACAUGCAUUUCUCCAGGGCCAGGGCCCAGCUGGGCCUUGUUAGGAGCAAGAGUUUGGCCGUGACAUCACU
rnacentral:lncRNA from 1 species